rnacentral:lncRNA from 1 species
UGAACCGGUGCUUCCUUCAGCUAAGACGACCACAUUAUAAGAACUCUCUGGCGAGAAAUCGUCCGUCAAAGAUGUCUUGAUUAAGGUAUAUUUGACAUCUGUUUCAACAACUUUCUGCAAGAACUCUUGAAUCGUCAAAGGUUGAGACUUAGAGAAGAGAUUGUUGAAGAAAGAGGAGAUGCCAUCAAGUACAUUGUUGGUUGAGGUUCCGGCUCCAUUUUUGUCAUCNNNNNNNNNNNNNNNNNNNNNNNNNNNNNNNNNNNNNNNNNNNNNNNNNNNNNNNNCAUAGAUGACUGCAACAUGGCCCACGCCUGCCAGCUGAGCCGCCAGAAUUACUUGCAAGGCAUCUGAAGUGGAAACCGCAGCCGUUGGACCGUUCUCAGUGGGACCAAUGGUGACAACCACUUUGCUUGCAUUGCCUAUUGCUUUUGCUAUUGAAUUUGCAUCAACAAAGCUUGACUCCACGGCAUUGAGACGCUUUGCCUCUUCAUUUGAUAUAAUCUGUGUUCACCAUCCAUUACUAAUUUAGUAUCUCAUCCCAACUCACUCCAAAUGGAAAAUUUCAUAAAAAUUUAAUCCAAUGGUCCAGUAUCAUGUUUUAAUUGUUGAAAAUUAAAUUGUGAACCAUGAAAUUAUGUAUUAGAUAAAAUUAAAUUAAGUGUGUAAGUGGGAAAAACUCUUAAAUAUAAUAUUUCUAACUUUUGGAUCAUAAACACGGACAUUAUACACAACAUUGAUACUGACAUGUAGACAUCGAUAAUAAUUGAAUGCAAUUGCAUGUGUAGGUAUUGUGUCAACACAUGUCGGUCAAUGAACAUGUCUUGGUGCUAGAUAGGAUACACCAUUUGUCUGAUUGGAUCUUGAAUUUUAACAAUCUAAAUUGGUUUGAUUAAGAAAAAAAUAGAGUAUAUUUCACAAAAUACUUAAUUUAAAGUAAAGAAGCUACAAAGCAAUACAAGAAGGUUCACAGUAGUGACCCUUUUGAGUUAACAGAUGCAACCUAUGAAGCAAUGACCAAUACCGCCACACAAUAAUAAUUGAAAGAAGAAAAAACCAAGUGAUUAAAUUGUACCUAAAACACAUGUGAGACACCAAACACGCCUUCAAUCGUGUCUUAAAUAUACUUGUGCUAAAUAGGAAGGAUGCAUCAUGCAACAUUUGUUUGAUUGAAUCAUGAACAUUAAUAAUAAUAAUAAUAAUAAUAAUCUAAAUUAGUGUUUUGAUUAAGAUGCUUAAUAAUAAUUACCUUAUAUUGAGAAGCAAGUUGAGCCAAUUCCUGAGCAGAACCAAGUUCAGGAACACCAGCUCUAACACUAAACCCUUCCCUAAGCAAAGUUUGAGCAAUGCGAAUACCAGCUUGACCUGUAGCACCGGCAACAAAAACCGUCGAAGAAUCCUUCCUCCUAGGACUUCCAAAUGACAAACCUGGCAAAGAAGAGUUUUUGCUCCCAACAGGUAUCAAAGAAGUGACAUCAGGUAAUUUU